UACAGAGGGUGCGAGCGUUGUCCGGAAUCACUGGGCGUAAAGGGCGCGUAGGCGGCCUGAUAAGUAGGGGGUGAAAUCCUGUGGCUUAACUGCAGGGCUGCCUCCUAGACUGUUAGGCUCGAGCACGGUAGAGGCAGAUGGAAUUCCCGGUGUAGCGGUGAAAUGCGUAGAGAUCGUAAGGAAGACCAGUGGCGAAGGCGGGUCUCUGGACAGUUCCUGACACUGAGGCACGAAGGCCAGGGGAGCAAACGGG
rnacentral:rRNA from 1 species